rnacentral:rRNA from 1 species
AGAGUUUGAUCCUGGCUCAGGAUGAACGCUAGCGGCAGGCUUAACACAUGCAAGUCGAGGGGUAUAGUUCUUCGGAACUAGAGACCGGCGCACGGGUGCGUAACGCGUAUGCAAUCUACCUUUUGCAGAGGGAUAGCCCAGAGAAAUUUGGAUUAAUACCUCAUAGUAUGUGAGAAUGGCAUCAUUUUCACAUUAAAGUCACAACGGCAAAAGAUGAGCAUGCGUCCCAUUAGCUAGUUGGUAAGGUAACGGCUUACCAAGGCAACGAUGGGUAGGGGUCCUGAGAGGGAGAUCCCCCACACUGGUACUGAGACACGGACCAGACUCCUACGGGAGGCAGCAGUGAGGAAUAUUGGACAAUGGGCGCAAGCCUGAUCCAGCCAUGCCGCGUGCAGGAUGACGGUCCUAUGGAUUGUAAACUGCUUUUGUACAGGAAGAAACACUGGUUCGUGAACCAGCUUGACGGUACUGUAAGAAUAAGGAUCGGCUAACUCCGUGCCAGCAGCCGCGGUAAUACGGAGGAUCCAAGCGUUAUCCGGAAUCAUUGGGUUUAAAGGGUCCGUAGGCGGUCAGAUAAGUCAGUGGUGAAAGCCCAUCGCUCAACGGUGGAACGGCCAUUGAUACUGUCUGACUUGAAUUAUUAGGAAGUAACUAGAAUAUGUAGUGUAGCGGUGAAAUGCUUAGAGAUUACAUGGAAUACCAAUUGCGAAGGCAGGUUACUACUAAUGGAUUGACGCUGAUGGACGAAAGCGUGGGUAGCGAACAGGAUUAGAUACCCUGGUAGUCCACGCCGUAAACGAUGGAUACUAGCU